GGUCAAGCGAUUAAGCGCAUACGGUGGAUGCCUUGGCAGCCAGAGGCGAUGAAGGACGUGAUAGCCUGCGAUAAGCGUUGGCGAGGUGGCAAAUACCCUGCGACCCAACGAUUUCCGAAUGGGGAAACCCACUCACCAUCAGGUGAGUAUCUAUAGGCCAAUACAUAACCUAUAGAGGCAAACCCGGGGAACUGAAACAUCUAAGUACCCGGAGGAAAAGAAAUCAACCGAGAUUCCCCAAGUAGCGGCGAGCGAACGGGGACCAGCCCUUAAGCGAUACAACUGACAGACGAACAAGCUGGGAAGCUUGACGAUACAGGGUGAUAGUCCCGUAGUCGAAGUCUGAGUAUCGUGAAAUCGAGUAGGUCGGGGCACGAGAAACCUUGACUGAACAUGGGGGGACCAUCCUCCAAGGCUAAAUACU
rnacentral:rRNA from 1 species